rnacentral:rRNA from 1 species
UACGGAGGGGGCUAGCGUUGUUCGGAAUUACUGGGCGUAAAGCGCGCGUAGGCGGACCUGCAAGUCGGGGGUGAAAGCCCGAGGCUCAACCUCGGAACUGCCUUCGAUACUGCGGGUCUCGAGUCCGGGAGAGGUGAGUGGAAUUCCUAGUGUAGAGGUGAAAUUCGUAGAUAUUAGGAGGAACACCGAUGGCGAAGGCAGAUCUCUGGGCCGUAACUGACGCUGAGGAGCGAAAGCAUGGGGAGCGAACAGG